GCAUAUCAAUAAGCGGAGGAAAAGAAACUAACAAGGAUUCCCCUAGUAACUGCGAGUGAAGCGGGAAAAGCUCAAAUUUAAAAUCUGACAGUCUUUGGCUGUUCGAGUUGUAAUCUAGAGAAGUGUUAUCCGCGUUGGACCGUGUACAAGUCUCCUGGAAUGGAGCAUCAUAGAGGGUGAGAAUCCCGUCUUUGACACGGACUACCAGUGCUUCUGUGAUGCGCUCUCAAAGAGUCGAGUUGUUUGGGAAUGCAGCUCAAAAUGGGUGGUAAAUUCCAUCUAAAGCUAAAUAUUGGCGAGAGACCGAUAGCGAACAAGUACCGUGAGGGAAAGAUGAAAAGAACUUUGAAAAGAGAGUAAAAUAGUACGUGAAAUUGUUGAAAGGGAAACGAUUGAAGUCAGUCGUACCGACGGAAAAUCAGCUCUUUAGUGCGGACUUGUGGGCUUACGUGAGUUUUAACACCUUGCUGUUUGCAACGUUCGUGCUUUUUGGGUGUACUUUUUCGUAUGGUAGGCCAAUGUCAGUUUCGAUCGCUAUAAAAUGACCGGCGGAAUGUAGCUUCGAUCUUGUAUUGAAGUGUUAUAGCCUCUGGUAGAUGUGGUGAUCGGGACUGAGGAUUGCAACGAAUACCUUUUGGGCUAUCCGUCUGAUCUCUGAAGGUUGCUUAGGUGCCGAAAGCGUGCUUACGGUUAUUUAAGUUGACAGUCAAAAGGUUAGAACGGAUUAUAUUCGUUUAAGAUGUUGACGUA
rnacentral:rRNA from 1 species